UACAGAGGGUGCGAGCGUUAAUCGGAAUUACUGGGCGUAAAGCGCACGUAGGUGGCGACGUAAGUCGGGUGUGAAAGCCCCGGGCUCAACCUGGGAAUUGCAUUUGAGACUGCAUAGCUAGGGUGCGGAAGAGGGAAGCGGAAUUUCCGGUGUAGCGGUGAAAUGCGUAGAGAUGUGGAGGAACACCAGUGGCGAAGGCGGCUUUUUGGUCUGUAACUGACGCUGAGGCGCGAAAGCGUGGGGAGCAAACAGG
rnacentral:rRNA from 1 species